rnacentral:piRNA from 1 species
AUUUAUGGAAGAACCUGGAUUAACCAUGG